UGGCCCAUGUUCCUGCCAUGGCGGCUGAGGGGGUGUGGGCUUCCCUCACGGCAACCUCAAAAUAAACCUCCCGCAAACCCCUAAAAUCGCCGCGUGGGACUCCCAGCGAUUACCAUCAACGACUAAUUGGAGUUCGCAGAGACCCGCUGGUCUCAGGAGAGCGCUGAGCCCUCUUUCAGCUUGGCGAUGGGUGGAGAGAGGAGCUGCAAGAACAGACAGCGCCAGGGAGGAAGCCCUUGGAAGUGGCAAUGCAGAUGUUCAUGUUUAUCUGGCCAUGGGAGGACACGAGAGCUAUCAGCAAGAGCCUGAUCUUUUCAGCAAGCUGUUGUCACGGUCUAAAUGAAUUUACCCAGGUAAAUCCAUAUGCAAAGGAAGGUAAGAUAAGUUUAAAAUAAGAGUCCACCCCUUCAAGUCUCCCAGGAGUAAAUGAACGGUCUUUUGUGCCCCAGGUUGGACUUUUACAGGUGCCACUUUGCUAUAGUUGGGCCAAAAACUAGUGGGGGAAAUUGUGGGUGGGGAAAAGUGGGAAGAUGUAAUCAGCCACUUAAUUCAGUCUUUUUGGAAGGACAGCUUGAUAUUCUUUUGCAGUUGCAAGAAAAAGCUACAAACAAAAAACAAUACUUAAGAAAAAUGUUCAUUGUAUUAUAAAGUCAUAAUUUGCAUGCUAAAAUUGCAAGUGUUAUCAUUUCUACUACUGAUAGUAAAAAAGUAGGUGAGCCAAAGCACUGAGUGUGCCAGCCAGUGCCAAAAGGAGGAAACUAGGUUAAGCUGAAAUAUCAGUUGUUCCUAUUCCCCUUCAUUUGUUUGUUCACACAUGAAUAAUUUUUUUUUUUUUUUUUUAAUACAAGACAGCUUAGAGCUACCCUGGGCCAUCAGCUACAGUGGCCUACAUAAUUCCCAGGCUGAUUUAAACACACAGGCAGUGGAAUAUUUGGUGGCCACCAGCUGAUAUUGGAAAGACAGGCACUAAAAAUAAGUUGUCCUUUCUAACAGUAAAUGUAAUUAAGCACUGAAAUAGUGCCUGUUGUAGGGAGGUGGCCCUGAAGGCAUGGAGCCAAAACGAGACAUGUUGUUAAAAGGUAUGUUCCCUUCAGCAGAUGGUCAGAGCUCUGGUACAUGAAGCACCCAGUGAAAUUAUCCACCCAGUUCCUGUAGGAAGCCCGUCUGGAGCAACCAUAAUAGCCCUAAUUUCUCUCAAAAUACAAAUAUAUGGUUGCUAGUUUUCACUGCUUUGCAGCUAUACUAUUUGGUGUAAAUUUAGCUGUUUAGUUGUGAGAACACAACAAAAACAGCAACAGCCCACUUUGGUUUGCAUUAUGAUUUACUUUCUAAAGCCCACACUGCAGCAGAGACUGAAGGUGCUCAGGUACCAAAAGCAGUUUAACUGUGGUAGCACAAAAAUGUGUUGUGUCUCAGGGGAAGGUUAGGUGGAAUAUCAGGAAAACGUUCUUCCCCCAGAGGGUGGUGGGCACUGCCCAGUCUGCCCAGGGAAUGGUAACAGCCCCAAGGCUGCCAGAGCUCCAGGAGCAUUUGGACAACACUCUCUGGCUCUGCACCUGGGGUGAUCCAGAAGCAGAAGAGGCAGGAGUCCAGCUCUUGUUGACAUCUUAGGGGGGUGAUCAUUGUGGGUGCCAAACAAGAAGACAUAAAAGUUAUAUCUGAUCAUGUUAUUAGUGCAGACAUCCAUAUAUAAAGAUAAAUCAGAAUGAUACAAUUAUGUGGAUAUAGGUAGAGAUCGUUAUUCUCCAGCAAAUGGCAUCAUCUGGGAUGCUCCUGAGUUUUGACUGCAUAUUUCUGAGAUGGCCUCUAUAACCUGAAAUACUCAUUGGAGUCCUUCAGCUCUCCAACAACCCGAAAUCCACUACAGAAAAUAAUAUGUUCUGCAGAAGAUUGGUUC